rnacentral:rRNA from 1 species
GUGGGGAAUAUUGGACAAUGGGCGAAAGCCUGAUCCAGCCAUGCCGCGUGUGUGAAGAAGGUCUUCGGAUUGUAAAGCACUUUAAGUUGGGAGGAAGGGCAGUAAGUUAAUACCUUGCUGUUUUGACGUUACCGACAGAAUAAGCACCGGCUAACUUCGUGCCAGCAGCCGCGGUAAUACGAAGGGUGCAAGCGUUAAUCGGAAUUACUGGGCGUAAAGCGCGCGUAGGUGGUUUUGUAAGUUGGAGGUGAAAUCCCCGGGCUCAACCUGGGAACUGCCUCCAAAACUGCAUGACUAGAGGACGGUAGAGGGUAGUGGAAUUUCCUGGGUAGCGGUGAAAUGCGUAGAUAUAGGAAGGAACACCAGUGGCGAAGGCGACUACCUGGACUGAUACUGACACUGAGGUGCGAAAGCGUGGGGAGCAAACAGGAUUAGAAACCCCGGUAGUCC